rfam:Hordeum vulgare subsp. vulgare, WGS project CAJW01000000 data, contig: morex_contig_1847149
GUUAUGCUCCCUCCGUCCGGAAAUACUUGUCCUAAAAAUGGAUGAAUCUAGACUUAUUUUAAUUAUAAAUACAUCCAUUAUUUUCAUUUUUAGGACAAGUAUUUCCGGACGGAGGUAGUAGUAU